CGGGGAGAGGGGCGGCGGAGGGGCGCGGGUCGGAGCGCGGUGCUGUGCCGGGAAGACGCUGAACUUCUCGUGCGCUGAAGAGCCAGAUGAGCAGCGCAAGUCAUUAGUCACCCAGCAGGGUCUGGCCACUGAGACGAAACAUCUCAUUUUCAAGAACAUCUUCGGGGAUGAUGGCAAAUCACAGACACCGAUGGCGAUGCGCUCAGCAUUAAAGAACACAGUGUAAAAUCGAAUGUGACAAGCAGAGGACCUGUUUUGUUUUGUUGCUUUUUCUUAUAAACAGAACAAUAAAUUUGCUUAAAAGCUAGAUAAAUUGUGAUAGGGUGUAAUAUUCCGUACUGCGAUGUUCUGGUCCAACGGCUUAGAAUAACUAAAGAAUAUUAUUUGGUUUUUACUUUAGAGAAUUUAAACUCCAUCACCUUUGCAGCUCUCAGCGCACAUCAGUUAUUGAACAGGAGCUGAUAUUGUGUUAGAU
rnacentral:lncRNA from 1 species